rnacentral:misc_RNA from 1 species
GCAAACUUGGUCAUUUAGAGGAAGUAAAAGUCGUAACAAGGUUUCCGUAGGUGAACCUGCGGAAGGAUCAUUAUCGAGUUAGGGUCUUCUAGGCCCGACCUCCAACCCUUUGUUUAUUAUACCAUGUUGCUUUGGUGGGCCCGCCUCUUGGGGCCACUGGGGACUUUCAUCUUCCCUAGUCAGUGCCCGCCAGUAGCCUUCUUAAAUUCUUUUAUAUCUAUGUCGUCUGAGUAUAACAAAUAAAUUGUUAAAACUUUCAACAACGGAUCUCUUGGUUCUGGCAUCGAUGAAGAACGCAGC